UCUCACUAACAGCGGCUGCAUUGUGAAGA
rnacentral:piRNA from 1 species